rnacentral:rRNA from 1 species
AGUGAACGCUGGCGGUAGGCCUAACACAUGCAAGUCGAACGGCAGCACAGUAAGAGCUUGCUCUUACGGGUGGCGAGAGGCGGACGGGUGAGGAAUAUAUCGGAAUCUACUUUUUCGUGGGGGAUAACGUAGGGAAACUUACGCUAAUACCGCAUACGACCUACGGGUGAAAGCAGGGGAUCGUCGGACCUUGCGCGAUUGAAUGAGCCGAUGUCGGAUUAGCUAGUUGGCGGGGUAAAGGCCCACCCAGGCGACGAUCCGUAGCUGGUCUGAGAGAAUGGUCAGCGACACUGGAACUGAGACACGGUCCAUGCUCCUACGGGAGGCAGCAGUGGGGAAUAUUGGACAAUGGGCGCAAGCCUGAUCCAGCCAUCCCGCGUGGGAUGCGAAGGCCUUCGGGUUGUAAAGCCCUUUUUUUGGGAAAGAAAAGCAGCAGCUUAAUACCCCGCUGUUCUGACGGUACCCAAAGAAUAAGCACCGGCUAACUUCGUG